UACGUAGGGGGCUAGCGUUGUCCGGAAUCAUUGGGCGUAAAGCGCGUGUAGGCGGUCCGGUAAGUCCGCUGUGAAAGUCGGGGGCUCAACCCUCGAAAGCCGGUGGAUACUGCUGAGCUUGAGUCCGGAAGAGGCGAGUGGAAUUCCCGGUGUAGCGGUGAAAUGCGCAGAUAUCGGGAGGAACACCAAUGGCGAAGGCAGCUCGCUGGGACGUGACUGACGCUGAGACGCGAAAGCGUGGGGAGCAAACAGG
rnacentral:rRNA from 1 species